rnacentral:rRNA from 1 species
GGAUCCCAUCAGAACUCCGCAGUUAAGCGUGCUUGGGCGAGAGUAGUACUAGGAUGGGUGACCUCCCGGGAAGUCCUUGUGUUGCCCCCCUUUUUUUUUUUUAAUUUUUUUUUAGCCUAAAACGAGUUUAAACUUGGAAACCUCAUAACUUUUGAACCGUGAGGAACUACGUCGCCCAUAGCACCAUUUCGGAAAGCCCCAGAAACCAUAAUGGGCGGUGAAUAGGGGGCGCAAUUUUUCGGGCUCAAAUUCAGCCGUUUUGACCCUCAAACGGGCUGCGGAAAGUUAUGGCACGUAAAAAAGAUCGAAAGCGGAUUCUCAAGGUGUUUUUGAUGCUUUCUUAACGCCGUUAACCUCGAUGCACUUUUUCGCUCGAAACAAAACGGCAAGAAAAUCAUGUGGGCCCCACGGCCUUACACUUGGAUUGGCCGGGAAAAGGAUAUAUAGAAACGAGAGUGAUGUACUGACGGGUGCGAUCAUACCAGCACUAAUGCACC